GAUGAACGCUGGCGGCGUGCCUAAUACAUGCAAGUCGAGCGAACGGACGAGAAGCUUGCUUCUCUGAUGUUAGCGGCGGACGGGUGAGUAACACGUGUAUAACCUACCUAUAAGACUGGGAUAACUUCGGGAAACCGUAGCUAAUACCGGAUAAUAUUUUGAACCGCAUGGUUCAAAAGUGAAAGACGGUCUUGCUGUCACUUAUAGAUGGAUCCGCGCUGCAUUAGCUAGUUGGUAAGGUAACGGCUUACCAAGGCAACGAUGCAUAGCCGACCUGAGAGGGUGAUCGGCCACACGGGGACUGAGACACGGUCCAGACUCCUACGGGAGGCAGCAGUAGGGAAUCUUCCGCAAUGGGCGAAAGCCUGACGGAGCAACGCCGCGUGAGUGAUGAAGGUCUUCGGAUCGUAAAACUCUGUUAUUAGGGAAGAACAGAUGUGGAAGUAACUGUGCACAUCUUGACGGUACCUAAUCAGAAAGCCACGGCUAACUACGUG
rnacentral:rRNA from 1 species